UACGAAGGGGGCUAGCGUUGCUCGGAAUCACUGGGCGUAAAGCGCACGUAGGCGGCUUUCUAAGUCAGGGGUGAAAUCCUGGAGCUCAACUCCAGAACUGCCUUUGAUACUGGGAAGCUCGAGUCCGGAAGAGGUGAGUGGAACUGCGAGUGUAGAGGUGAAAUUCGUAGAUAUUCGCAAGAACACCAGUGGCGAAGGCGGCUCACUGGUCCGGUACUGACGCUGAGGCGCGAAAGCGUGGGGAGCGAACAGG
rnacentral:rRNA from 1 species